ensembl:lncRNA
AGGAUCCGAGCCAUGUCUGCAACAUACACCACAGCUCACAGCAACACUGGAUCCUUAACCCAUUGAACAAAGCCAGGAAACAAACUUGAAUACUCUUGGAUGCUAGUCUGAUUUGUUUCUGCUGAGCCACAACAGGAACUCCCCCUUCCUGUUUGUGAGCCUAAAGAUUUGGGUUUUAGCCAUCUUCUCUUCUCUCCUUGAGUAAUCUUAACCCAGCACAUGACCUUGAGAAAUUACUCCAAAUGCCUUCUCUAGCCCACCAUGAGCCACCACUGAAAUCCCUUCUUUAGCCCACCAUGAGCCACCACUGAAUGGCCAUUUCCACUGAGCCCUCUUGUGAAACAGAGCAAAUCAGACUCUUGAAUCCUGUCACUUUUCUCUCUGUUCCCAUGAUGGCUCCCCUGAUCUAGGCCACCAUCCCAUUCUGGAUUAAGGCAGCAACGUCCUUACCGAUCUCCUGAAGUCUUCCUCUGUAGUCAUCCAUUUCACACACUAGCACCCAAGUGUUUUUCCCAGAAUAUAAUUUAUGAUCACUCUCCUAAAUAAAAGCUUUCAGGGAUAGAUUUUGCUCCUCUUUUUGAUAUUUGUUCUAAGGCUGGUUUAGUGUUGCUGAAUUCUCUCAGCUUUUGCUUAUCUGAGAAGGUUUUGCUUUCUCCUUCAAAUCUGAACGAGAGCCUUGCUGGGUAGCGUAUUCUUGGUUGGAGGUUUUUUCCUUUCAUCACGUUGAGUAUAUCAUGCCACUCCUUCUGGCCUGCAGAGUUUCUGUUGAAAAAUCUGCCGAUAGCCUUAUGGGGGUUCCCUUGUAUAUUAUUUGUUUCUUUUCCCUAGUUGCUUUCAAGAUUUUCUCUUUGUCUUUAAUUUUGGUCAGUUUGAUUAGUAUGUGUCUUGGGGUGUUCCUCCUUGGGUUUAUUUUGUAUGGUACUCGUGCUUCCUGGAUUUGAGUGAGUGAUUCCUUCCCCAUGUUAGGGAAGUUUUCGGCUAUUAUCUCUUGGAAUAUUUUUUCUGUCUCCUUCUCUCUCUCUUCUCCUUCUGGCACCCCUAUAAUACAGAUGUUGGUGCGUUUCACAUUGUCCCAGAGUUCUCUGAUACUCUCUUCAUUUGUUUUCAAUCUUUUUUCUCUUUUCUGUUCUGCAUCCGUAAUUUCCACUAAUCUGUCCUCCACCUCGCUUAUUCAUUCUUCUGCCUCCUGUAUUCUGCUGUUAGCUGCUUCUAGUGAAUUUUUUAUUUCAGUUAUUGUAUUUUGCAUCUCUUCUUGUUUAAGUUUUAUAUCUUGUAUCUCUUUGGUCAGUGUUUCCUGUAAGUUAUCCAUCUUUGCCUCCAGUUUAUUUCCAAUGUCUUGCAUCAUCUUCAGCAUCAACAGUCUAAAGUCUUUUUCCUGGAGGCUGAGAAUCUCCUCAUCGCUUAGCUGAUUUUCUGGGGUUUUUCCUUUCUCCCUCAUCUGAGUUAUAGUUCUCUGUCUUUUCAUUUUUAUAGGUUUUUGGUGUGGUGACCUUUUUACAGAUAAUAGAGUUGUAGCCUCUCUUACUUCUGAUGUCUGCCCCCCUGUGGCUGAAGUCAGUAUGGGGGCUUGGUGUAGGCUUCCUGAUGGGAGGGGCUGAUGCCUGCCCCCUGGUAGGAGGAGCCGAUUCUAAUCCCUCUGGUGGGUGGGGCUUAGUCUCUGGAUGGGAUUAGAGGCAGCUGUGUGCCUGAGGGGUCUUUAGGUAGCCUGUUUACUGAGGGGUGGGACUGUGAUCCCACCUGGGUUGUUGUUUGCCCUGGGGCUUCUCAGUGGCUGCUGACGGGUGGGGCCAGAUUUUCCCAAAAUGGCCACCUCCAGAGAAAGGCACUGCUGCUGAAUAUUCCCGAGGGCUUUGCUUUCAAUGUCCUUCCCUCACAACAAGCCACAUUCACCCCUGUUUUCCCAGGAUGUCCUCCAAGAACUGUGGUCAGGUUUGACCCAGAUUCCCUUGGAGACUUUGCUUUGCCCUGGGACUCGGUGCACGUGAAAGUCUGUGUGCGCCUUUUAAGAAUGGGGCCUCCGUUUCCCCCAGUCCCAUGGAGCUCUUGCAUAGAAGCCCCUCUAGCCUUCAAUGCUAGAUGCUCUGGGGCUCUUUCUCCCUGUGCCAGAUCCCCACACGUGAGAGUUUGAUGUGUGGCUCAGAACUCUCACUCCUGUAGGUGAGUCUCUGUGAACCAGUUAGUUUCCAGUCUGUGAAGCUUCCCACCCAGGAGGUGUGGGGUUGUUUAUAUCACGAAAUCGCCCCUCCUACCUCUUGAUGUGGCCUCCUUUUUUUCUUCUGGAGUAGGGUAUCUUUUUUAAGGUUUCCAGUCCAUUUUGUUGAAGUGUGCUCAGUCUUUAGUUGUGAAUUUUGUUGUUUUUAGGAGAGAAGUUGAGCUCCAGUCCUUCUAUUCUGCCAUCUUAAUCCCUCCAAAAGUGCUCCUCUUUUUGAAAUUAAACUUUACUGAGGUAUAAUUUAAACCGUUUGAUGAGUCUCAACAAAUGUGUAGAGCCAUGCAGCUAACAUCCUAACAGGAUGCUGUGCCUUUCAGUCACCCCCAGAAGUCCCCCAGACAGCCACUCUUGAUUCACUUGUUCUCGAACUUCAUAUACAUGGAAUUG